CAGUCGCCGCGGUAAUACGAAGGGUGCAAGCGUUGCUCGGAAUGACUGGGCGUAAAGGGCGCGUAGGCGGUUUUGACAGUCAGAUGUGAAAUUCCUGGGCUUAACCUGGGGGCUGCAUUUGAGACGUCAAGACUAGAGUGUGAGAGAGGGUUGUGGAAUUCCCAGUGUAGAGGUGAAAUUCGUAGAUAUUGGGAAGAACACCGGUGGCGAAGGCGGCAACCUGGCUCAUUACUGACGCUGAGGCGCGAAAGCGUGGGGAGCAAACAGGAUUAGAUACCCCCGUAGUCCCUGUCUCUUAUAC
rnacentral:rRNA from 1 species